rnacentral:rRNA from 1 species
UACGGAGGGUGCAAGCGUUAUCCGGAUUCACUGGGUUUAAAGGGUGCGUAGGUGGGUUGGUAAGUCAGUGGUGAAAUCUCCAGGCUCAACUUGGAAACUGCCAUUGAUACUAUUAAUCUUGAAUACCGUGGAGGUCAGCGGAAUAUGUCAUGUAGCGGUGAAAUGCUUAGAUAUGACAUAGAACACCAAUUGCGAAGGCAGCUGGCUACACGAAUAUUGACACUGAUGCACGAAAGCGUGGGAUCAAACAGG